rnacentral:rRNA from 1 species
GACGAACGCUGGCGGCGUGCUUAAUACAUGCAAGUCGAGCGAAAAGAUAAGGCGUUUGUUCGUUUCUCGUUUGGGGAGGGGGGGUGUGUAACGUGUGGGAACUCUCCUUAAAUGUCUGGGAAAUUUUCGGAAAUCGGGCGCAAAUCCGGGAUAACCUUUGGAACCGUAUGGUUCUUUGGAGAAUGUUGGUUUUGCUGUCAGUACUCGAUGGUCCUCCGCUGUUUGGGCUGGUUGUUACGGUAACGGCUUACCACGGCAAGGAUUCGUGGCCGACCUGACAGGGUGAUCGGCCGCACUGGAACUGAGACACGGUCCAGACUCCUGCGGGAGGCAGCAGAAGGGAAUCGUCCGCAAUGGGCGAAAGCCUUACAGAGCAAGGCCGCGUGAGUGAUGAAGAGUUUCGGCUCGUAAAACUCUGUUAUUAGUGAAGAACAAACGUGUAAGUAACUGUGCACGUCUUGACGGUACCUAAUCAGAAAGCCACGGCUAACUACGUG